AGUGAACGCUGGCGGUAGGCCUAACACAUGCCAGUCGAACGGCAGCACAGUAAGAGCUUGCUCUUACGGGUGGCGAGUGGCGGACGGGUGAGGAAUACAUCGGCAUCUACUUUUUCGUGGGGGAUAACGUAGGGAAACUUACGCUAAUACCGCAUACGACCUACGGGUGAAAGCAGGGGAUCUUCGGACCUUGCGCGAUUGAAUGAGCCGAUGUCGGACUAGCUAGUUGGCGGGGUAAAGGCCCACCAAGGCGACGAUCCGUAGCUGGUCUGAGAGGAUGAUCAGCCACACUGGAACUGAGACACGGUCCAGACUCCUACGGGAGGCAGCAGUGGGGAAUAUUGGACAAUGGGCGCAAGCCUGAUCCAGCCAUACCGCGUGGGUGAAGAAGGCCUUCGGGUUGUAAAGCCCUUUUGUUGGGAAAGAAAAGCAGCAGGUUAAUACCUCGACGUUCUGACGGUACCCAAAGAAUAAGCACCGGCUAACUUCGUG
rnacentral:rRNA from 1 species